UGCGUCACCGAACGCAGACGCAGAGCAGAAGCGGCUGAAGAGCUUCAUCGAUUUCGCGCUAUUUCUGUAUAUAAUUAUAUACAGUCUGCACCUGGAAUGUAUCUAUAUGUGUAUCUAUAGGCUCCAUUCCAAUGGUGGAGAGGAGGAGGAGGAACCCACUGGUGCUAACUUCCACCAAAAAUCUCAUCAAUUCCGUACUGAGUGAAGGCCACCGCGUCGACGGCAGCGGCUAUGGUGACGCGGCGACGAGCUUUCAGUUGCCGCGGGGGAUUCUCCGGCUGUCCAAGGACAGCCCGAAAUUGGCCUCUCUCGACGACUCUGCUUUGGUCGGGCUUUCCACUCCUGCCCUCAAACGGCUCUCCAUCACCGCCUGCUCGCUGGAUGCAGGGAAGAUAGGAAGGCGUCGGGUGCUGUUAAUUGCAGCUGCUGACAGUUCCAAAGGUCUACCACCAACUAUUAGAAGCUGCUUUAGCCAUGAAAUAAGUAUGGGUCCUUUGACUGAAGAACAAGGGGUGAAAAUGGUGUCACAGUCUUUGCAGAAGGCUUCUGAACUCUUUUCUAACACUGGUUCAGAGGAGUUUAUAAAGGAUAUAGUGAAGCAGACAUCUGGUUUCAUGCCUAGAGAUAUUUGUGCCUUGAUUGCUGAUGCUGGUGCUAAGUUGAUUUCCAGAGGCAAUGUUCCGAUGAACACUGUUAAGUCGGAGGAAUCAGAUGGAUCUCUCAGAUCUUAUGUGGAAUCUGAUAGUAAGUCCUCUGAAGUUGCACCUCAGUUUCUGGGGAAAGAAAACUUGACAAAGGCAUUGGAGCGUUCAAAGAAAAGGAAAGCAUCAGCCCUAGGUACACCAAAGCACUUCUACGGUCUGGACGAUUUGAUAAACUGCUUUAUGUUGGAGUAAACUCUGAAGCAUCUUACAGAGAACGGCUUUUGAGUUCGGAUUCAGAUUCUUCUUGCACAGAUGACCAGUCGGACUCGGUUAUUGUUGAAUAUGAUGAUUUUAUCAAGGUCUCACCGGAGCUUUCUCCGUCCCUCUCCAUGGCUGAGCUCAGGAAGUACGAGUUGUUGCGUGAUCAGUUCGAAUGAGCUCCCAAGUGAGUUCCCAUCAGGUUAAAAUGAUUUGUGGGGAAUUUAGAUUUUUAAUCUCUUGCUAUAUAAUCAAAUGUAUAUGAUAUCAGUGUGUACAUACAGGAAAUGAACCACUGCAUGUACCAUUAAUUAAAAAAAUAUGUAGAAACUGGACUGAGAGAUUUUUCAGUGUGCCGGAAAUACGGUUUGGUAGACUAGAUAUCAUAAUACAAGUGGUUGAUACUUGAAAAUAAAAAUUUUCAACCACUUAUAUUAUGACACUUAAUGCAUUGUGCUGUAUUCUCGCACAUUGAAAAAUUUUCACCUGGACCAAAUUGGUCACCUUUAGGACUACUUUCUUCAUUGGAUCAUGUAAUUUUGUAGAGAGAUUUUAGGUUCAACUCAUA